UACGUAGGUGGCGAGCGUUGUCCGGAUUUACUGGGCGUAAAGGGCGUGCAGGCGGUUUGUUAAGUGCAGAGUGAAAGCUCCCGGCUCAACUGGGAGAGGUCUUUGCAUACUGGCAAACUCGAGGGAGGCAGAGGAAAGUGGAAUUCCCGGUGUAGUGGUGAUAUGCGUAGAUAUCGGGAGGAACACCUGUGGCGAAGGCGGCAUCCUGGACCGGCAUUGACGCUGAGGCGCGAAAGCUAGGGGAGCAAACGGG
rnacentral:rRNA from 1 species